UGGGAGAAAAAUUUCAUCAGACCAAGAUUUUGACUCUAGGAGAUAAAUCGUCAGACUAGGUCCAUUUUGUUGUGAUCUUAGGAGAAAGAUUCAUCCGACUAAGAUUUGAUUAUAUUAUCUUGGGAGAAAAAUUUCAUCAGACCAAGAUUGUGACUCUAAGAGAUAAAUCGUCAGACUAGGUCCAUUUUGUUUUGAUCUUAGGAGAAAGAUUCAUCCGACUAAGAUUUUAUUAUAUUAUCUUGGGAGAAAAAUUUUAUCGGACCAAGAUUGUAUCGGGAGGGAAAUUCAUCAGAUUAGGACUUUUUAUCCUAAGAGGAAAAUGUAAAGAUCAAUGAUUUGAGAAACUUACCUUCGUAAUUUCUUCUUUUCUUUUCUCCUUCCUUCGCUCUGCUUUGUUCUUGCUUGCUGGGGAUAAUGCCACUGUGGGAGUCUCCUUUCUUCCCCUCCUUCAAAUUCAUUUUUUU
rnacentral:lncRNA from 1 species